AUUAUCUUCUCUUGGCUGUUUCGGCUCAAAAACUCCACACAAAUCAUCACAAUUUCGAGCAUAAGAACCCUGUCCAUCUCUUCCAAAUCGAACCAACAGAACCCAUCCUUUCAAAGGGCAACAAGUCCCCUUUCUUGUCUUCUGAAAUCAGUCACAAACUCAAUCAAAUGAACCUCCAUUUCUUUCCGUUUCUCCUUCUCUUUGCUGGUCUCAGAUGAGCUCUUAAUCCUUGAUAUAUGACCAUCAAACCCAUGGCUGGAAGUGAUGAUAGGCUUGGUCGUCGGCAGGCUGAAACUGGACAUAUGAGACGCAGUUGCUCUGAGGACCCUUCUUUUGUACUUGAAAAAUGAAUGUUGGUCUGUGAGGGAAAUUGGCGAUUCGGAAUUGGGGUUUCUGAAGGUUUUGAGGUAAGUUUUGUUUUUCUUCGAAACCAAUUUACAUAAUACCAUCACGAAUCAAAUCUAGGAUUUAUUCAAUCAACUAAGCUGUACAUCCCAUAUAAUCACUGAUUUGGUCUGGUUCAAGUCCUUCUGCCCAAUUGUGAAUCUGCUUUAAAUUUUAGGCCAAUGUUUUUAUGAAAGAAUCAUAGUAAGUUAGUAUAAUUAAGCUAGUGGCUUUGAUUCUUUUCUUAGCUCAUAUAUGUCCAUUUGAGCAAUUAUUUGGAGCUUCUUCUGUAUUUUAGAUUGUUCUCUAGUGAUUUGACUUCUUGGUUAGUUACUAGGGUGUAUUUGUAAAGAAAGACUAAAGCAAUAGGAAUGUCAAUGAUGGUGGGGAAAUCCCCACUUCUUCUCUUUCGAUCUCUCACUACUUCACCAAUGAGAUCUCUCUCGUCGUCUUGUUCUCCACGGUUCCUUUCUUUGUCAUCCAACGAGAAACCACCAGCAUAUCAUCGCUCUGAAGAUGAUGAACCAUCCAUACGAUCUAGAUUACCUCCUAGGGAAAAAGGUAAUUUAUUCCUCGUUCAUUUCUCAAUAUCUGAUCUAUGCUUACUGUUUGUUUUCUUUCCUCACAAAAAUGAAGUAUUUAGCUGCCAUAAUUCUUGAAUGUACUUUCUCCGUCUCUGAUUAGAUGACCUAUACCAUAAAUAAGUGGAGUGAUAAAUUAGUAUUAUUAUGAGAAAUAUUUAAAAUUUGAUACCAUCUUUAUAUUCAUUAGAUAUGUGUUUUAAAAUGCUUUCCGAUGAUACAAAGAUUAAGAAAAUCCGUUAUAUAGUUUGAGAGAUAAAUCAUUUUUAAAUUUACUAGUAAAUUUUAAAUAGGUCAUCUAAUUAGGGACGGAGAUAGUAUAUCUUAGUAGUAGUAGAGAUUUGAUGGGUGUAUUUUUUUAUUUGAAUAUAAGAUCACGCGAUGAUCAUCGCAUUAAUGUUGAGAAAUCAAAGACAAUUCCAGGGAGACAUGUAAUUACUCUCACAUUUAAGCCCUUUGCUAGGUAAUCUACUUUACAAGUUUCUUCUUCGUUCGACUCAAUUCCUAAAAAUGCCCCUCUCCGAAAUGGGUUCCCAAAUGUGCCACCCUAAUCCCAAACCUACCAAAAAUGUCACUAUAUGACAUUUAUGCCCCUAACAGUAGAGGACCCUCAAUUGUUUACUAUUAUUUCCAACUUUCAAAACUUUAAAUAAAUAUUUUUCUGUAUGGUUUUUAGUGUAGGGGUCCUGAAGAAAGAGUGAGACUUUUCACCGGACCCUAGCAUUUUAUUAAAAAAUUCUUAUAUUUCCCAUUAACAAUUAAAAAUCACUUUUUUUUAUUUGAAUUUAAUUAUUAAGGUCAUGUGGAAAGAUGAAGACUCUUUACAGGAUUCCGGAUGAAAAUAAAAAUAUUUAAGUAAGAUAGGUUUUAUGGAUAUUUUAUUAAGAGGGUCCAUUAAAAAGUCCGCACACCUUAUAUUGGAUCCUUAGGAUAAUAUUAAAAUAAUUCUGAUAACGGAAUUAAAUAAGGUUUCAAGGGUCUCCGCCUUUUCAAUCCAGGGUAAGGAUCUUUUUUCCACAAGGCCACCUAGGCGCCAGGUAGGUGUUAAGUAGGAUGAUCGAGGUACCUAUAUAUUCCAGGGUGAGGACCUUUUACAUUACUCCACCCCUUACACCUCCGUUACACAGCACAACGGUUUAUAUUCUUUUAAAUAUAAUAUUAUAUUUCGGCACGUACUAUAAUUCUUUACCCUCAUUUGCUUAUUCUUCUUCUGCCUGUUCUUUCAUCUUCUUGAGGUGCUAUAUCAGGGACACCUCUUCUUAUUAUCAAAAGAACAAGUAAGUAACCUAAACCCUUUGUUUACUUUUGUUAAAAUCGUCUAAUGCAUGAUGUUUUUGUUGAUUGACAUGAUUGAUGCUCUGAAAUGUUUUUUUUUCCAAAUCGAUUGGGGCUUGAUGUUUGAUUAUAAUUGAAAUUAAAAAUGAUUGACUGCAGGAUUUCAAUUGGUUAUUGUUUGAUGGGUUUCAGUAACCCUAUUGGGGGGUUAGAAUUAGAAGAUAAUACUUUCAUAAUUGAAGUUACAGAAUGGAACCAUAAUUAUGAGGGUUUAAAUUUUGGGGAUUGCUUGAUUUGAAAUGAUCACUGUUUGAAUUAAAUGUUCAUCUGUAAAUUUGUUGUUUUUAAACCUUUUGAUCAAUGGUAAGGCCUCGUCUCCAGAUUUAUUUUUUUUGGUGGUUAUGAAUUGAUUGAACAAUUGUUUCAGCUUUACUUUAUGAUGAUGCCUGUAUUGCUGAGUGAAGAUUGAAAUGAGAAGGUGGCACCCUUUUUACAUACAGGCAGUCGAGCACCAUUUGGAUAUACUGUGUUUUAAGCUUUCUGGGUUUGAUUUUUUCAUUUUUGGUUUGGUAGGCUUAGAUGUACUAGUUGAAGAUAAUUUAUGUCUAGAUUUCGAUCUAAAUGUUGCUUGUAUGAAUUACUUGCAGUUAUCAAAUCAUGCUGGGAUAAUGAAAACGUAGAAUACAGUAAAUAUUGGGGGGCUAGAAUAAAACAUUUCUAAUGGUGUGGUGGGCAGUUUAACAAGAUUAUAUUUUGGGAGGUUGGGAUAUUCUUGGUCUCUCUUUGGUUUUGAGUCUCCAAAGAAUUUUUCACUUUAUGUUCAGUUGGGGUUUCUGGAGUCCCAAGCUUUUUCACAAUCAUAUAUGGAGAAGAAGUAAAAGUAGAUAUUCCUCCCCUAACUCCCAAAACAACAACUGGAGAUGACAGCGGAUCCAAGAUGCUUCCCCACACUCCGUUGACCCCUCUUAACAAUCUGGAGUCGAGUUCCGAUGAGGAUUAUCAGUCCAAGAAUGAGACUGCCAAGGGAGAUGGUGGUGCUAAAGGUACGUUAAUUUCUCCCUUUUAUGAUUGUACUUUUCUCCCACGAUGAUCUAUGUGUGGGAAACACUUUCAAAAGCAAGGGGGAGCUGAAACUUAUACUUGCAAUAGCCAAAGUAGAAAGAAAUUUUGAGUACACAACUUUUAAAUCCGACAGUCAGGGGUUUAUUGCCAAAUGCAAAGACAAGACAUGCAAGUGGCGUCUGCGAGCAGUUCCCUUAGAUUCUUGUGGGUGGUGGAGACUCACAGCCGCAAACGAUGUGCACACUUGUGGUAGUAACAAAAGGACUGACCCUGAAUUAAGAACCAAAGCGGUGUCUGCUGGAAUUGCAGAGCUUUUCAAGCACAAAUUCAAAGAAUUGGAUGCGGCCUUUACGCCCAAACAACUGGUUAAGGACAUAAAAAGGGACUAUCAUGUGGUCAUCUGGUUAAGCACAAAUUCAUAAAAUGUCAGCUGCCGCACCAUGAAAGCUAGGGUUUUAUAUUUACCGAUUGACUAAUAUCCAACUAUAUGGAAAGCAGGAGCUAUAGAGUUCAAUAGGUUUCAGCUGAUCAUCCUCACUGUCCCAGACAACAUCAUUUGUAGAGGAUUUAUUUCGACAGCAAAAGGUUGCAUUUGUGGGAGGCCUUCACCUGUUUGCUUAUUGGAAUAAGUGUGAACCAGCUUCAGUCGCUACCUGCAGGGGCGACAUCUUUGAGUACCCCACUGCAAUGAGUGCAUAUUGCAGGGAUAUUUGUUAGUCCAGUACACUGGCUCGUUGAGAUUUUGCUUCACAAGUUCAGAGAUGAGCAUUUUUUAGGGGGCAUAGGGUGAAUUGUGUCCAGUAAAAUGUGUGUUUCUCUUUUUGAUUUCAUUUCUCAUUUUGGAAAAUCUCUUGCCACGAGUCCAGCUAACCACAAUCGGCAACAGUUUUCAUCAACUUGUUGUACAUGAAUGAAUAGUUACUUUUCUACAUAUUAUUUUACAGUAGAACACAA